AUAAACCAUUGCUCUGGUAUCUGGGGUAGUGUCAAGCCGUCACUAAAUGAGGAUAAAGAACAGAAUGAGGAGAACAUCAGGUAGCAGAACGAAAGGGCCCAACACACCUCUGUUUAUUCUUAAACUUCCACCUGGUUUUAGGAAAUGGCAGAGGAUUUGCUCCAGAGGAUGCUUGGGAUUUUGCCCGAAGUCGAAUGAGAGCGCUUUGCUAUGGGGAGAAACGAGCCCAGCAAGGCUGAGGAAAAGAUUGGAUAUCCAUAUCCGUUGGAGGCUCCAAGCAAACACACUCAGAGGGUGACGAGAGCUCAGCAGACCCCAGGAUUGGCAAGUCCUCAAGCCCUCUGCUCUCCUUUACGGAGGUGAGUCACUCUGGCUACAUCGGUCCCAGCAGAUCUGAAAACAAGCCAACCCAGCUGUUCCUCAGAGAGCACCCCUUGAUUCAGUGUGCAAGUUUCUGGUUGAUAUAGAACUUAGGAGUUGGAGCAGCGAUCGAUAAACCGGGGAAAAUGUGUUCAAAAACGGCAUUAUGGAAGCCGUAGGUAAUCACCGUCUGCAGGGGUUGGGGCCAUGUAUAAAAUUUGGAGUUGAGGUUAUGGAAUAAACUACUGGAG
rnacentral:lncRNA from 1 species